UUUUGGAAAAGUCUUUUUUCAUAAGCUUCUCCUAAACUUCAAGAAAAUGCUUCUUUUUGUUGGGGGAAAAGCGCUUUCUCUAAAAGACAACCGAAAAAAUUAAAAGAGAGAAAGAAGAGGAAAAAGAGAAAGGUAAAGAGAAGAAAGAAACUUGGUGUUUUUGUUGCUUCUCAUUCUGAUAGCUCCCUUCUAUGUUUCUUUAAAAAUGUUAUCUUUAAGGUCCAAAAAUAGUAUCCACUCUUUCUCUCCAGUGAAGAAGAGGUUGAUGAGAGACUUCAAGAAGCUACAACAAGAUCCACCUACCGGUAUUAGUGAGGUUGCUCAAGAUAAUAAUAUCAUGCUUUGGAACGCUGUCAUUUUUAGGCCCGAUAAUACUCAUUGGGAUGGAGGUUCCUGGUGGCCUGGUCGAAUUAUGGGCCUUGAUGACCUCUCUGAGGGUUGUUUGGUUUUUCUGAGAUCUAGUAAUCCUGUUAAUCUUCUUGGUCGUGAAGAUGCAGGCGUGUGAGUUCAAUUUUUUUUAAUCUUUUAGCCACUUUUUAGAUUUUUUUGGCUAGGUUUAAUAGCUUGCAUUUCUGCUAAUGAUUCAUUGUAGUAGUUUUCUUUUAUUCAAGUUUAUUUGUUUGGUAGUUUUGAUAGUUUUGUCGUUUGUAAAACUUUUUAUAUUGCUUAAUGAAUAAGAUACUGAAAAAAUGGGAAACACUUAAUAGAUAAAGUGGUCUUUUGCUCUGGUGACUUUUUGGUUCCAUUCCGAGAAGCUCAUUCAGGAGGAUAAUUUCGAUCUUUUUGUUGGGAUGUCUACUUUAAGAGGUUAAUGCAGAACCCUGGUGAAUUUGUUGUGACUUUUCCAAGAGUUUAGCAUGUAGGAUUCAGCCAUGGUUUUAAUUUUGGUGAAGCUGCAAACUUUGGAACUCCACAGUGGCUUCAAGUAGCUAAAGAAGCUGCAGUUCGUAGAGCUGCUAUGAACUAUUUUCCAAUGCUUUCUCAUCAGCAGCUGUUGUACCUUUUGACCAUGUCUUUUGUGUCAAGGUCAACUGGUGUUGCCUGAUUCAGAUAGCAUAUCAACAACAGCAAUCCACGUAGCUAUUUCUUAUUAGUGUGAUUUUAAGUUCAUAAUUUGUAAGGCUUGGUAUUGUAAUCUAAGGGUGUGUCAAUAAAUGCAGGGCCAGUGGACUAGAUUUAGAGUGAGCAAGGUCUUGCUAAUGGUGAUCUCAUUAACCAGUAUGUUUAAAGGUAUUAAAAUGAGGGUCAGAAUAUUGCAGGGUGCUUUGUUUAUCAUUUGAGAAUCAUAAAAGCUAAUUAUUUAUACUUUUCU